rnacentral:lncRNA from 1 species
GAGUGCCUACAAGCUGAGAGUACCUACAAGCUGAGUACCUACAAACUGGGAGUGCCUACAAGCUUAGAGUACCUACAAGCUGAGUGCCUACAAGCUGAGAGUACCUACAAGUACCUACAAGAUGAGUACCUACAAGCUGAGAGUGCCUACAAGCUGAGAGUACCUACAAGCAGAGAGUACCUACAAACUGAGUGCCUACAAGCUGAGAGUACCUACAAGCUGAGAGUGCCUACAAGCUGAGAGUGCCUACAAGCUGAGAGUGCCUACAAGCUGAGAGUACCUACCAGCUGAGAGUACCUACAAGCGGAGAGUGCCUACAAGCUGAGAGUACCUUCAAGUACCUACAAGAUGAGAGUACCUACAAGCUGAGAGUGCCUACAAGCUGAGAGUGCCUACAAACUGGGAGUGCCUACAAGCUGAGAUUACCUACAAGCUGAGUACCUACAAGCUGAGAGUACCUACAAGCUGAGUACCUACAAGCUGAGAGUACCAACAAGCUGAGAGUGCCUACAAGCUGAGAGUGCCUACAAGCUGAGAGUACAUACCAACUGGGAGUGCCUACAAGCUGAGAUUACCUACAAGCUGAGAGUACCAACAAGCUGAGAGUGCCUACCAGCUGAGAGCGCCUACAAGCAGAGAGUACCUACAAACUGAGUGCCUACAAGCUGAGAGUACCUACAAGCUGAGAGUGCCUACAAGCUGAGAGUGCCUACAAGCUGAGAGUGCCUACAAGCUGAGAGUACCUACCAGCUGAGAGUACCUACAAGCAGAGAGUACCUACAAACUGAGUGCCUACAAGCUGAGAGUACCUUCAAGUACCUACAAGCUGAGAGUGCCUACAAGCUGAGAGUACUUACAAGCGGAGAGUACCUACAAGCUGAGAGUACCUUCAAGUACCUACAAGAUGAGAGUGCCUACAAGCUGAGAGUGCCUACAAACUGAGAUUGCCUAUCAGCUGAGAGUACCUACAAGCUGAGAGUACCUACAAACUGAGUGCCUACAAGCUGAGAGUACCUACAAGUACCUACAAGAUGAGUACCUACAAGCUAAGAGUACCUACAAGCAGAGUACCUACAAACGGAGUGUCUACAAACUGAGAGUACCGUCAAGUACCUACAAGAUGAGAGUACCUACAAGCUGAGAGUGCCUACAAGCUGAGUACCAACAAGCUG